GUAGGUGGCAAGCGUUGUCCGGAAUUAUUGGGCGUAAAGCGCGCGCAGGCGGUUCUUUAAGUCUGAUGUGAAAGCCCACGGCUCAACCGUGGAGGGUCAUUGGAAACUGGAGAACUUGAGUACAGAAGAGGAAAGCGGAAUUCCACGUGUAGCGGUGAAAUGCGUAGAGAUGUGGAGGAACACCAGUGGCGAAGGCGGCUUUCUGGUCUGUAACUGACGCUGAGGCGCGAAAGCGUGGGGGAGCAAACAGGAUUAGAUACCCUGGUAGUCCACGCCGUAAACGAUGAGUGCUAAGUGUUAGGGGGUUUCCGCCCCUUAGUGCCGCAGCUAACGCAUUAAGCACUCCGCCUGGGAUGCGGCCGCAAGGCUA
rnacentral:rRNA from 1 species